GACGAAACGUGGCUCCGCGAGAUGACCUUGCUGAGAAACGUCUGCGACCACAUGUCCUGCGACAAGCUGUCCGCGGCGGUGCCGGAUGAAAUAGCGAGCGCUGCACAUACUGCAGACAGUUUUGCUGUUAGCGUAUGCCAGAACUGCACCAUAUCAGCUAUGCCGGUAGCCGCUUUUUGCCAGCGUCCCGAGGCGCUUAGCUCCCGAACGCUUCCUCUCGCUGCGAAUACUGAAUCACCAAGAUACCUUCAACACAAAAGUUAUCAGAUUACAACGUCUACUAGCUGUACGAUCAGCAGUCCACAAUAUACCCUGUAUGGACGAAAGCUCGUAAUGCGCCAAGAAGGUUGGUAGAAACGGAUUCAUUCAGCGUUAUGUUGUAUAUUCCUUUCACAGGUGUGCCGAACAGGUAUCCCAGCUCCAUGCCAUGAAAAGCUCCUGUUAAAAGAUUUUAUCACAUACUAAGUUUAAGCGGCACUAACAACGGUAAAUGCACAGAUAAUGGCGGCUGACGUGUAUUACGAAGGAAAAAAUCAUGUUGACUGUUGAGUAUAAAGCGUUUCGUGGCUCCGCACUAAGUUCUGCUAAUUUCGCUUUUACUGAAGAAGUAUGGUUAGAUCUGAAGAGGAGUGUUUUACCUAAGUUCAUAUACUGUGAAUCAUAGGAAAUGCGAUAUAAAUGGCUGGAUAUUC